UACGUAGGGUGCGAGCGUUGUCCGGAUUUAUUGGGCGUAAAGCGUGCGUAGACGGUAGCGUAAGUCAGAUGUGAAAGCCCCGGGCUCAACCUGGGAAUUGCAUUUGAGACUGCUCUGCUCGGGUGCGGAAGAGGGAAGCGGAAUUUCCGGUGUAGCGGUGAAAUGCGUAGAUAUCGGAAGGAACACCAGUGGCGAAAGCGGCUUCCUGGUCCGACACCGACGUUCAGGCACGAAAGCGUGGGGAGCAAACAGG
rnacentral:rRNA from 1 species